UACGUAGGGGGCAAGCGUUGUCCGGAUUUACUGGGCGUAAAGCGCGCGUAGGCGGAAGUUCAAGUCUGGCCUGAAAGCCCCCGGCUCAACCGGGGAGUGGGGCUGGAAACUGGGCUUCUUGAGGGCGAUAGAGGAGUGUGGAAUUCCUGGUGUAGCGGUGAAAUGCGUAGAGAUGCGGAGGAACACCGAUGGCGAAGGCAGCCCCCUGGGCUAACACUGACGCUCAGGCACGAAAGCGUGGGGAGCAAACAGG
rnacentral:rRNA from 1 species